rnacentral:rRNA from 1 species
AUUGAACGCUGGCGGCAGGCCUAACACAUGCAAGUCGAACGGUAGCACAGAGAGCUUGCUCUCGGGUGACGAGUGGCGGACGGGUGAGUAAUGUCUGGGAAACUGCCUGAUGGAGGGGGAUAACUACUGGAAACGGUAGCUAAUACCGCAUAAUGUCGCAAGACCAAAGAGGGGGACCUUCGGGCCUCCUGCCAUCGGAUGUGCCCAGAUGGGAUUAGCUAGUAGGUGGGGUAAUGGCUCACCUAGGCGACGAUCCCUAGCUGGUCUGAGAGGAUGACCAGCCACACUGGAACUGAGACACGGUCCAGACUCCUGCGGGAGGCAGCAGUGGGGAAUAUUGCACAAUGGGCGCAAGCCUGAUGCAGCCAUGCCGCGUGUAUGAAGAAGGCCUUCGGGUUGUAAAGUACUUUCAGCGAGGAGGAAGGCAUCGUGGUUAAUAACCGCAGUGAUUGACGUUACUCGCAGAAGAAGCACCGGCUAACUCCGUGCCAGCCGCCGCAGUAA